rnacentral:rRNA from 1 species
AUUGAACGCUGGCGGCAGGCCUAACACAUGCAAGUCGAGCGGAUGAAGGGGCUUGCUCCUGGAUUCAGCGGCGGACGGGUGAGUAAUGCCUAGGAAUCUGCCUGGUAGUGGGGGAUAACGUCCGGAAACGGGCGCUAAUACCGCAUACGUCCUGAGGGAGAAAGUGGGGGAUCUUCGGACCUCACGCUAUCAGAUGAGCCUAGGUCGGAUUAGCUAGUUGGUGGGGUAAAGGCCUACCAAGGCGACGAUCCGUAACUGGUCUGAGAGGAUGAUCAGUCACACUGGAACUGAGACACGGUCCAGACUCCUACGGGAGGCAGCAGUGGGGAAUAUUGGACAAUGGGCGAAAGCCUGAUCCAGCCAUGCCGCGUGUGUGAAGAAGGUCUUCGGAUUGUAAAGCACUUUAAGUUGGGAGGAAGGGCAGUAAGUUAAUACCUUGCUGUUUUGACGUUACCAACAGAAUAAGCACCGGCUAACUUCGUG